rnacentral:tRNA from 1 species
GGUAAGGUGGCUGAGUAGAGCAUUAGACUGUAAAUCUAACCAUAGGGGUUUAGUCCCCUUCUUACCA